CAACCUCCUUAUGUGGAUUUUCGAGCUUCCAUACUACUCACUACCAUAGUCGCCCCUAAAGUUACGUCAUCUUCUCAUUGACUUUACAUUGGCAUUGUUGUCUGUGGUGGCCACACAGACUUUUCACACAUUCCGUGACACCACCACGUAAUGCAGUGUUAACAGUUUGUGAUCAUUUCACGGAAUUCUGUGAGACCAGGCUGGUGUCAACAGAGGGGAAAUA